rnacentral:tRNA from 1 species
ACCUUAAUAGCAAAACGGUAAAUGCUGGGGCCCUAAGAUCCUCAACAAAAAGUUCAAUUCUUUUUUAAGGUA